UCAGCAGCCGCGGUAAUACGUAGGGUGCAAGCGUUAAUCGGAAUUACUGGGCGUAAAGCGUGCGCAGGCGGUCCGCUAAGACAGAUGUGAAAUCCCCGGGCUUAACCUGGGAACUGCAUUUGUGACUGGCGGGCUAGAGUAUGGCAGAGGGGGGUAGAAUUCCACGUGUAGCAGUGAAAUGCGUAGAGAUGUGGAGGAAUACCGAUGGCGAAGGCAGCCCCCUGGGCCAAUACUGACGCUCAUGCACGAAAGCGUGGGGAGCAAACAGGAUUAGAUACCCUGGUAGUCCACGCCCUAAACGAUGUCAACUAGUUGUYGGGUAUUCAUUKCCUUAGUAACGUAGCUAACGC
rnacentral:rRNA from 1 species